UGUUUCUGUAGGGUGAUGGAUUUGCUACAUCUCCAUCACGAAGCGCUGACAAACUUACAAUGCUGUAUACAGAGUCCGAGUUGAGACUGAGGAGUUGAGAUACGUGGAAGAAUAUCGCUUAGGAGCAGCUGCUAGCCUUGACUGAGCCCUAGGCACUGUUUUGACAGCAGUUGAUAUACAACCUUAUGGAAAGCCCAGACCGUUGCACGUAGCUGGAGCUUGUAAGGAGAAGCAGCUGAAAUCAGCCGGAGCUUCAGUGCGGAGCUGGGGCUUCAACGAGCCAGAACUGUAGCAAGCGGGAGCUGGAACGAGGCGGGGUGUCCGCUGUCUGGAGCGUGCAUUAGCCAGAGGCAAAAGUACCUGCGGCUGUAACGAGCUGGAGCGUCUUUUCGCUGGAGCGUCCGUCGGCCGGACGGCGCUCCCAGCACGGCGGAAGAGCGGCCGGGCGCAGGCAGGGCUGUCCGCAGCAAGCAGCUCCGAGCAGCAGGGAGCGUCACCUUCCGCGUCACACGAAGAAAAUCCUGCGUGGUCAGUUCCGCUUGCUGCUCAGGUAAUCGCACGUAUCGGGCUGGGGGAGCGGAGAGAAACACUUGCGAGUUCGAGGGCACUACAGAUGCUCCACGUUAAACCCACAGAGAAGGCAAAUUUGCUGCUAGUGCAGAAAAGCUGAUGGAAAAAUUGCUGUUAACAGAUCGUGCCCUAUUCUUGAACUGGUCCCUUGAUGUGUUUUUGUUUCAGGUGAAAGAACGAAAUUUCCUGUCUGGUAAAUUCAGAGCUGCCUGUUAGCUUCUUCAGGGUCGAGUGUUUCUCUUCUCUCUGUUCAUACUGAUUUUAUGGGCAAGUUGGAAAUAGCCUUUUACUUUUUUAUGUAUAACUGAAUUUUUAGGAAUAUGUGGUGUCCCUGUAGUUCAUUUUUGAGCACCUAGAUGCCAGUAGAAAUGUAAUGAGCGAAACAUGAUGGGAACUGGUACUUAAACUUGAUUUUUAUUUGGGGUUUUUU